UACAGAGGUCCCAAGCGUUGUUCGGAAUCACUGGGCGUAAAGGGUGCGUAGGCGGGUCUUUUAAGUCAGGGGUGAAAUCCUGGAGCUCAACUCCAGAACUGCCUUUGAUACUGAGGAUCUUGAGUUCGGGAGAGGUGAGUGGAACUGCGAGUGUAGAGGUGAAAUUCGUAGAUAUUCGCAAGAACACCAGUGGCGUAAGGCGGCUCACUGGCCCGAUACUGACGCUGAGGCACGAAAGCGUGGGGGAGCAAACAGG
rnacentral:rRNA from 1 species